GAUCCUGGCUCAGGAUGAACGCUAGCUACAGGCUUAACACAUGCAAGUCGAGGGGAAACGAUAUUGGAGGCUUGCUUCCGAUAGGCGUCGACCGGCGCACGGGUGAGUAACACGUAUCCAACCUGCCCACCACUUGGGGAUAACCUUGCGAAAGUAAGACUAAUACCCAAUGAUAUCUCUAGAAGACAUCUGAAAGAGAUUAAAGAUUCAUCGGUGAUGGAUGGGGAUGCGU
rnacentral:rRNA from 1 species